AUUGAACGCUGGCGGCAGGCCUAACACAUGCAAGUCGAGCGGAUGAAGAGAGCUUGCUCUCUGAUUUAGCGGCGGACGGGUGAGUAAUGCCUAGGAAUCUGCCUGGUAGUGGGGGAUAACGUUCCGAAAGGAACGCUAAUACCGCGUACGUCCUACGGGAGAAAGCAGGGGACCUUCGGGCCUUGCGCUAUCAGAUGAGCCUAGGUCGGGUUAGCUAGUUGGUGAGUUAAUGGCUCACCAAGGCGACGAUCCGUAACUGGUCUGAGAGGAUGAUCAGUCACACUGGAACUGAGACACGGUCCAGACUCCUACGGGAGGCAGCAGUGGGGAAUAUUGGACAAUGGGCGAAAGCCUGAUCCAGCCAUGCCGCGUGUGUGAAGAAGGUCUUCGGAUUGUAAAGCACUUUAAGUUGGGAGGAAGGGCGUUUGGCUAAUAUCCAGGCGUUUUGACGUUACCAACAGAAUAAGCACCGGCUAACUUCGUGCCAGCCGCCGCGGUAACAC
rnacentral:rRNA from 1 species